UGGGGAAUAUUGGACAAUGGGGGGAACCCUGAUCCAGCCAUGCCGCGUGUGUGAAGAAGGCCUUAUGGUUGUAAAGCACUUUAAGCGAGGAGGAGGGUACUGGUAUUAAUACUACCAGGUACUGGACGUUACUCGCAGAAUAAGCACCGGCUACCUCUGUGCCCGCAGCCGCGGUAAUACAGAGGGUGCGAGCGUUAAUCGGAUUUACUGGGCGUAAAGCGUGCGUAGGCGGCUAAUUGAGUCGGAUGUGAAAUCCCCGAGCUUAACUUGGGAAUUGCAUUCGAUACUGGUUAGCUAGAGUGUGGGAGAGGAUGGUAGAAUUCCAGGUGUAGCGGUGAAAUGCGUAGAGAUCUGGAGGAAUACCGAUGGCGAAGGCAGCCAUCUGGCCUAACACUGACGCUGAGGUACGAAAGCAUGGGGAGCAAACAGG
rnacentral:rRNA from 1 species